rnacentral:rRNA from 1 species
GACGAACGCUGGCGGCGUGCUUAACACAUGCAAGUCGAACGGUGAAGCGCCUUCCUUUUUGGUGGGUGUGGAUGAGUGGCGAACGGGUGAGUAACACGUGAGUAACCUGCCCCCUUCUUCUGGAUAACCGCAUGAAAGUGUGGCUAAUACGGGAUAUUCUGGGUCUGUCGCAUGAUGGGUCUGGGAAAGAUAUUGUUUCGGUGGGGGAUGGGCUCGCGGCCUAUCAGCUUGUUGGUGGGGUGAUGGCCUACCAAGGCGGUGACGGGCAGCCGGCCUGAGAGGGUGGACGGUCACACUGGGACUGAGACACGGCCCAGACUCCUACGGGAGGCAGCAGUGGGGAAUAUUGCACAAUGGGCGCAAGCCUGAUGCAGCGACGCCGCGUGAGGGAUGGAGGCCUUCGGGUUGUGAACCUCUUUCGCCAGUGAAGCAGGCCUGCCUCGUUUGUGGGUGGGUUGACGGUAGCUGGAGAAGAAGCGCCGGCUAACUACGUG